UUCCGGAACCCACGAACACCUUGCGUUGCGACCCGACACGACUCGAACAACCGAUCCUCCUCACGAGGCCUUGCGUGCGAGGCGACCCGAUUCGUUUCCCGUGAAGACAGAGAAGCAUCGGCGGAGCAAGCCAGGGGAGGGAGAUGGACGCCUUCUACUCGUCCUCGUCGGCGGCAUACGGCGCGGCGCCCGGCGGCGGAUGGGGCUACGACUCGCUCAAGAACUUCCGCCAGAUCACCCCCGCCGUCCAGACCCACCUCAAGCUCGUACGUCUCCCGGGGCCAUUGCCCUCCCUCCCUCUCCCUCUCUUCCGACCCUCUGAUUUUCUUUCCUCCCGGAUUUUUUGUCCUUUGUCCGUGGGCUGCGUGCUGGGAUGGUGCCACCGGGUGAUCCCUAGGGCUUCGCGGGGUGGAAUGCGGCAACGGAUUCGGGAGUCCGUGUGGUUUUGGGGUGUUGAUCUGACGGUUUGGCGGUUGUUUUGGGGAAAUUUGGGGGGAUUUGGUUCUGAUGGGGCUCGAUUCUUCGUGGGUGUCUAGUCCGCUUGCUCUUCCGUUCCAGGCUGGCUUGGCGCCCCCUGGUUUGAUUUCCGCGCCCGAUGGUUUAGACGGUCCAGUCUACGCCUCCCGGUUCGAUUUGUCCAGAUGGAUGAAUUUGUCGGAAUGUGAAUGCGAUGAGCGCCGCAGUUAAACGUUUCAGAUCGAAUUGUUGGACUGGAAUGUGUGCGAUUCACGCAAUCGGCCUUCAUUUUCCGUUGUUGGUUUCGUGGGGAUCCCUAAUGGAACUCAUUUGUGAACCUUUUUUUUUAAUCGGAACUUGCAGUUUGCGUCUUGUUAUUCUUCUUCGCAUAAGCUAUUGACAAUUUGGGAUGCGCACUGAUUCAUGCGUUUACUCGUUGGGUUUAUAACUGCAGAAUAGCACCGCUUGAUCUGUCAUUAAUUAAGAAAAUAUAUAAUUCGAUUAGUUGCAUUUCGGUUACUUGUUUAUGCGCCUUCAUGUUUCGUGCGAUUGUGUGAUGUCAGACAGACUGUUCUAACUUCUAACGGUGGUUAGCUGCUCGAGUAUCUUAAUUCUGAAUUUCUGACGGUGGCUGGUUGGUUGCCUGCAGGUUUACCUCACCCUAUGCGUGGCGCUGGCCUCGUCGGCGGUGGGCGCUUACCUGCACGUCGUCUGGAACAUUGGCGGGAUGCUGACCAUGCUCGGCUGCGUUGGCAGCAUCGCCUGGCUCUUCUCGGUGCCCGUCU
rnacentral:lncRNA from 1 species